rnacentral:rRNA from 1 species
CUCAGUAACGGCGAGUGAAGCGGCAACAGCUCAAAUUUGAAAUCUGGCUCUCGGGCCCGAGUUGUAAUUUGUAGAGGAUGCUUCGGGUACGGCUACGGUCUAAGUUCCUUGGAACAGGACGUCAUGGAGGGUGAGAAUCCCCGUGUGUGACCGCCGGCUACGCCCCAUGUGAAGCCGCCUUCGACCGAGUCGAGUUGUUUGGGAAUGCAGCUCAAAAUGGGUGGUAAAUUUCAUCUAAAGCUAAAUAUUGGCCAGAGACCGAUAGCGCACAAGUAGAGUGAUCGAAAGAUGAAAAGCACUUUGGAAAGAGAGUUAAAAAGCAUGUGAAAUUGUUGAAAGGGAAGCGCUUGCAAUCAGACUUGCUCCCAGGUGCUCAGCCGGUGUUUUCACCGGUGCAUUCGCCUGGGGUCAGGCCAGCAUCGGUUUGGGCGGUCAGAUAAAGGCCUCUGGAAUGUAGCUCCUCUCGGGGAGUGUUAUAGCCAGUGGUGCAAUGUGGCCCGCCUGGACCGAGGAACGCGCUUCGGCUCGGAUGCUGGCGUAAUGGUUGUAAGCGACCCGUCUUGAAACACGGACCAAGGAGUCUAACAUCUAUGCGAGUGUUUGGGUGUCAAACCCACACGCGGAAUGAAAGUGAACGGAGGUGGGAACCUUUUCGGUGCACCAUCGACCGAUCCUGAUGUCUUCGGAUGGAUUUGAGUAAGAGCAUAGCUGUUGGGACCCGAAAGAUGGUGAACUAUGCCUGAAUAGGGUGAAGCCAGAGGAAACUCUGGUGGAGGCUCGCAGCGGUUCUGACGUGCAAAUCGAUCGUCAAAUUUGGGUAUAGGGGCGAAAGACUAAUCGAACCAUCUAAACCCAGUGCUACUGGAUGGAAGAUGCGGGGGACCAGGUCCCCCAAGUAGUCCCUGGCUUCCAGGGGCGACAUCGCCAGUCUGCGGGUGUGCCUUGGGUUACCUGCCGCCGGACUGCUCCCCGUCUUCGGGGGUUGCAGCCGUCCGGUUCACAGACUAUACAGCGAUGGCUGCCCGGGUGGCAGUUGUGA